GGAAGCGUGGCCGAGUGGUUGAAGGCACUGGUCUUGAAAACCAGCAACGGGGAAACUCGUUCGUGGGUUCGAAUCCCACCGCUUCCGCCA
rnacentral:tRNA from 2 species